AUACAUUUACAGCAGAAAUUAUCCAUUCCUUUUUUCUUCAAAUUGCUCACAUUUUUGUACAAGCCAAAAAUAUCUGCCAUUGUAUUUAUACUCAUGCAAAAUAUUCAGUGUUUUCAGAUUUUAAUGAAAAAUAAAGGAUUUGCUGAACUUUUUUCCUGCUCUGAAGUGCACUCUUGGAUUAUUAUGAUAACUGUAAUUCGCAAAUCAACAUGUGCACUUUGUGCCAAUACACAAUAUUUAAGCAAGUAAACCAAAAUUAAGGCCAUUCCAACUUGUGCAAAAAAGAAAAAAGAAAGAAAAUUGUUUCCCUUUUUUUAACAGUUCAGUUCAUGACUGGUUAUUUAUCCAUGUCCAUCUCUAUCUCUGGGUGGUGAGUGCGUCACCAUAACCAGGGCAUUGUAUGUAUUAGAAAUACAAUAAACAGAAUCAAACAGCUGUUGUUAUCAGCAAUUACUAACAAAAAAACAGAACAUGCUAAUUUAAUUUCAUACCUUUAAAUGUUCAAACCAGUAUCAUAUUACACUGUCCUAUAUGACAAAUAUUAUAUGAACUUCCUUCAUUGUUAAUAAUAUUUGACAUUGUGAUAGGUCAGGUUGAUAUGUAGGAAUUGUAGGAAGUCCUAAUUGUCCAAUGGAGUUCAACCCAUCAUUAUAGACAUUCCAACCAGUUCCAUACUUUGAACAUUGAUCUGCUGAGCAAUUAAGUUAAACAUACAAUUCUUGUUCUAGAAUGUGUCAGUGUUCUAGAAUACGCUAGACCUUCUUGGAGUUCUCUAUUCAGAGCAGCAAGUGUAAUUUCCAUCUUGCAUAACAUAAUAAACAAAGUAAGCCUUGUCCGAGCCCCUGCCCCUUGUCCCGUAGGGCAGGAGCCUAUCAGGGUUAGGGUAAAUUCCAUAAAUUCAAUUCCAAUUCAAUUCCUUCUGCCUGUAAAUUUCCAUGUAUUCAAUUCAAAUUCCAGGGCUAUCUUGAAUUGAAUUAAAUUUCAAUUUCAAUUGGAAUUGAUCCCAACCCUGGAGCCUAUCUCCUGUUUCUGUAGCAUGAGGCAGCUUGAUGUACAAGUACACCCCCUGGACAGGUCGCUAGUAAUAAUGCAUCUUAAAUAAGCAAUUGGCUACAAUAAAUUCUGUAGCAUUUUCCCAAGCAAAGUGAUCCUUCACUUGGUCAGGGCAGAGUUCAAUCCAUGACUAUAGAAUGGAUGAAUGAAUAGCAUGGUGGUGAAGUGGAGGUAAAUGAUUGGUUCCUAGUUGGUUGCAUAUUCAACACUAUAGCAUUGUAUUAAAUUGACAUUUUUGGCUGAGGAACUCAAAACUGAGAAAGGUUUCAUGAUAUAAAUCUGUGCUGAAAUAUUGUAGUCUAUGUUGCAGAGAUAUCUUUGAACAAAUCAUCAUGCAUUUUCAAAAAUAAGGAAUACUGUGCUGACUUUGUAAAUGGCCAAUACGUUUUAAGUAUGCUUUAAGGAUAAAAUAACACUAAUACAAAACAUAGCCCUUCGAAUUAAUUUAACCACAGACUCAGUGUCCAUUGGAAACACACAAACAUGUUUAGAUAAAUCUUUUCUCAUUUGAAAUACCAGAAGAUAUGAAUUUAAGAAAUUGAUAACCAAAAUCCUUUUUUAAAACUCUUGUGCAAGUCCAUCAAGCCUCAAACAUCAAACUACCUCAAACUGUCAAUAACACAUUCAAAAAUCUAUGACCUGUUAAAAAAGUAAUGGAGUACACUUUUCAAGAAGAAUAAAACAGGGAUAAAGAAGCAGAAAAAGUUUCAUAUCAAAAUAUAUUAUAUAGUAAUUGAGUAUCAUAUUACCAAAAAAGAAAUGGAAGCACAUUAUCCUCACACUGGAAACUCAAUGGAAUGAACUGAAUUGAUUUGAGUUACAACAACAACUAACAAUUUUCUGAACCACUGCAUACUAUCUGUUUCAAAAGGGUUCUGACAUCUUUCCUCUUAUGUCAUCAUACGCAACAACAAACCAGGAAGGCAAUGAUCAUAGGUUAACAAAACACUUCUUUGGUUUUGAAUAAAAACAAGUGAAGGAAAAUUCUAUUCUGUCAGACGUGGUAAAAACAAAUUUCACAAAUUUUCACUGUUUCUGAGUCACACAGCCAUGACAGUAUUUCAGGCCAACAUUUUUGUGGUAGCGUAGACUUAAUUUCUGGGGCUUGGUGACAACAUUUUAAGAUGGUUAAAUGAUACCAAAGCUGGGCUGACUGAUGUGCAAUUUGAAAAGCUACUCACACAGCUUGGCCAGCAUGUAGCUGGUAGCUGAACAUAAAUGUGUUAGUAAUACCUAGGAGCGAACAGUUUACACCAUACUUGGGAUGUCGAUAUGAAGGCCUAGGCAAAAACUUGGAUGCAUGUAUAUCUACUAUCAGUUAUGUGAUUUUAGAUUUUAAAAAGUUGACGCCAAAUUCGAACCAAUUCCUGAUAAUGUUUUGAUGAAUGGUAAAGCUUAUAAAAAAAUAAAUGCAUGUGUUCAUUUUUGCAUAGAAAAGCCUGGUGAGAAGUGAUGGAAUUCAGGAUCUUAAAUUGAUCAACCAGUUGCAUGGUAUACUGUUGUAGUGGAAGCUAUAAAAUGUACUGAUUUGUUGUUGUUAUUCAUUUGCAGUUGAAGUAUCAAACUAGUGAAUUUUCGGCAUAUUUUGUAAAGGAUGAAAAUGUGUUUUGGUGUUUUUUUGGGUUACGAAUAUGAAUGUGUGUUAUUGUAUCAAUGGGAGUAAUUAAGGUACAGUAGGUUUUUGCUUGUUAUAUUUUCACUCACUACAUUUACCUCCAUUGUCUGCUGGGUAUCUUAUGGUAAUUAGGCAAUAUGUAACCACCAAUGAAAAGAUGUAGACAAAAGUUAACAUUAUAGCUUCAAUUAAAUACUUAGGAAGAAUCAUGAUUUAAAAAAUAAAAUUCCAGUGUAGAUUAACUUAGAAUUAGUAUGGAUUGGAUG
ensembl:lncRNA